CUUCUCAGCUCAGCAGUUUCAGUGAUGAGAAGAUGAUGUGUACUCAGCAAUUUGAAGAAGAGAUUCACUUUUAGUGUCCUCAUUUGGAUGACCAGAAAUCCCAGUAACUUUAUAAAGAAGAAGAGAUGAAGCAUGAAGAAAAUGGGCGGAUGAGAUUCAGAAUAUUAAUAAGAAAUGAGGCGUGUUGAACUGUUUCCAGGUGGCAGAUGGUGAAGGAUCCCACUCUCAUGUUGGCUAGAUCUGCAACUGGCUGGAAAGCAGCUUUUCUUCUGUGUUGUGUGAUCUGUCAUGGGAAUUCUCAGACAGAAAAGAAAAGCUGCUCAGGAGAGCUGCUGACCUCCACUGCUGCCUUCUGGAAGUCUGUGUGUGCCAGUGGCCCCGGGGGAGACCCUGAGCACCCUGUGCUUGGAAGGAGGAGGUGCAGAGGCAGCACCCAGAAAUGUCUGAACUCUGCAAAGGAUUGGAGCAGGUGACCCAUGUGUCCCAAAACAGCUUUACAGAGGAUGUGCCAGUCUGGGGAUCCAUCUCUACCUGAGAAGAAGUAGGAGAAAUCAUGAUAUUUACCCUGUAGAGAACAGCACCUGCUCAGUGUUGCUGGAUAUUCUUUGUUCUGAUGA